rnacentral:lncRNA from 1 species
GUCAGGGGGUCGCACCGGGCAGUGGGGGGAUGGGGUCGUCGUCGCUGUCGGUGUUCUCCUCUGUGGAGCCGCCAUAGGGGUCAUCGGGGGGCAGCGAGGUCACCCUGCGGGGUCACGGGGUCACCACGGGGUCACGGGGUCACCGCGGGGUCAGCACGGGGUCAUGGGACCACCCAGGGGUCACAGGGGUCACCAAGGGGUCAGAACGGGGUCACAGAAUCAUGAGAUCACCCAGGGGUCACUCAGGGUCACAGAGGUCACCCAGGGUCACCACGGGGUCACUCAGGGGUCACCCAGGGUCACAGGGGUCACCACGGGGUCGCCACAAGGUGAUGGGGUCACCACAAGGUCAUCACAGUGGGUACUUGGGGGGUCAGCAUGGGGUCACCAUGAGGUCAGAUGGGGGUCACGGGGUCACCGCGGGGUCACGGGGUCACCACGGGGUCAGCCAGGGGUCAUAAGAGUCACGAGAUCACCCAGGGGUCACUCAGGGUCAGAGAGGUCACCAUGGGGUCAGCAUGGGGUCAUGGGGUCACCACGGGGUCAGCCAGGGGUCACUCGGGGCCACAGGGGUCACCACAGGGUCACCGUGGGGUCAGCAUGGGGUCAAGGGACCAGCCAGGGGUCACUCAGGGUCACAGGGGUCACCCAGGGUCACAGGGGUCACCGCGGGGUCACCAAUGGGGUCUCACCGCCGCAAUUCGUCCUCUGUGUCCCCAGCGCUGUCCUCAGCGUCACCUGGGGGGGAACUGGGAUGGACUGGGAGGGAACUGGGAUGGGAACGGGGAUACUGGGAAGGACUGGGAGGGAACUGGGAGGGAACUGGGAGGGUACUGGGACGGAACUGGGAGGAAAUGGGGAUACUGGGAAGGACUGGGAGGGAACUGGGAGGGAACUGGGAUGGACUGGGAGGGAACUGGGGAUACUGGGAAGGACUGGGAGGGAACUGGGAUGGGAAUAGGGAUACUGGGAUGGACUGGGAGGGAACUGGGAAGACUGGGAGGGAACUGGGAUGACCCGGGAGGGGGCGGAGCUAAGCCAGGGAAGGGGCGGGACCAACGCAAAGCCCCUCCCACCUUCAGGAGUGUUGCCAUUGGACGAGGGCGGUGUCGGGGGGCGGGGCUUAGCCGUGGUAGCACCGCCCACAUGGGCGGGGCGUUGGUGGGAGGUGGGCGGAGCUUCAGUUGGCUCCUCCUCCCCGUCGCUGCCAGAAGAGGCGGAGCCACCCAGGAGGUAACUGUCGGAAGUGGGCGUGGUCAGCGGGCGUCCCGCCCACCGAGGGGCGUGGCCUCGUGUGGCCACGCCCACUUGUCUCAUAUAAGCCAUAAAUGGACCCCCCAGACCCCAUAGAAACCCCCAUAGGGACCCCCCAGACCCCACAGGG